CCUACGGGUGGCAGCAGUGAGGAAUAUUGGUCAAUGGACGAGAGUCUGAACCAGCCAAGUAGCGUGAAAGAUGACUGCCCUAUGGGUUGUAAACUUCUUUUAUAUGGGAAUAAAAUGUUCCACGUGUGGGAUUUUGUAUGUACCAUUUGAAUAAGGAUCGGCUAACUCCGUGCCAGCAGCCGCGGUAAUACGGAGGAUCCGAGCGUUAUCCGGAUUUAUUGGGUUUAAAGGGAGCGUAGGUGGAUUGUUAAGUCAGUUGUGAAAGUUUGCGGCUCAACCGUAAAAUUGCAGUUGAAACUGGCAGUCUUGAGUACAGUAGAGGUGGGCGGAAUUCGUGGUGUAGCGGUGAAAUGCUUAGAUAUCACGAAGAACUCCGAUUGCGAAGGCAGUUCACUGGACUGCAACUGACACUGAGGCUCGAAAGUGUGGGUAUCAAACAGGAUUAGAUACCCUAGUAGUC
rnacentral:rRNA from 1 species